GACGAACGCUGGCGGCGUGCUUAACACAUACAAGUCGAACGGUGAAGCGCCUUCCUUUUUGGUGGGUGUGGAUGAGUGGCGAACGGGUGAGUAACACGUGAGUAACCUGCCCCCUUCUUCUGGAUAACCGCAUGAAAGUGUGGCUAAUACGGGAUAUUCUGGGUCUGUCGCAUGAUGGGUCUGGGAAAGAUAUUGUUUCGGUGGGGGAUGGGCUCGCGGCCUAUCAGCUUGUUGGUGGGGUGAUGGCCUACCAAGGCGGUGACGGGUAGCCGGCCUGAGAGGGUGGACGGUCACACUGGGACUGAGACACGGCCCAGACUCCUACGGGAGGCAGCAGUGGGGAAUAUUGCACAAUGGGCGCAAGUCUGAUGCAGCGACGCCGCGUGAGGGAUGGAGGCCUUCGGGUUGUGAACCUCUUUCGCCAGUGAAGCAGGCCUGCCUCGUUUGUGGGUGGGUUGACGGUAGCUGGAUAAGAAGCGCCGGCUAACUACGUG
rnacentral:rRNA from 1 species